rnacentral:rRNA from 1 species
GAUGAACGCUAGCUACAGGCUUAACACAUGCAAGUCGAGGGGAAACGAUAGAGAAAGCUUGCUUUUUCUAGGCGUCGACCGGCGCACGGGUGAGUAACGCGUAUCCAACCUGCCCACCACUUGGGGAUAACCUUGCGAAAGUAAGACUAAUACCCAAUGACGUCUCUAGAAGACAUCUGAAAGAGAUUAAAGAUUUAUCGGUGAUGGAUGGGGAUGCGUCUGAUUAGCUUGUUGGCGGGGUAACGGCCCACCAAGGCGACGAUCAGUAGGGGUUCUGAGAGGAAGGUCCCCCCACAUUGGAACUGAGACACGGUCCAAACUCCUACGGGAGGCAGCAGUGAGGAAUAUUGGUCAAUGGGCGAGAGCCUGAACCAGCCAAGUAGCGUGAAGGAUGACUGCCCUAUGGGUUGUAAACUUCUUUUAUAAAGGAUAAAGUCGGGUAUGGAUACCCGUUUGCAUGUACUUUAUGAAUAAGGAUCGGCUAACUCCGUG